ACCAAACAGCUAGCUUAACCCACCAAAACACAAGAUUACGAUUUAAAUAAUUUUACAAAAACUUAAAGGAAAAAA
rnacentral:rRNA from 1 species